GCCUUCGUGGUGUAACGGUAGCACACUCGGCGCGUAUUCAAGAGGUCCAGGUUCGAGUCCCGGCGAGGACA
rnacentral:tRNA from 1 species